AAGGGCUGAGUGUCUGUGGCUGUUGUGGUUAUUUCUGUGGGGAACCCUGAAAAGUGCCAAACUCUCGGUGCUGUAUAGGUAUGGGGCAUGCCUCCGCCAAGGCGUAACUUGGCGGGAUGGCAUACCUGCCAUCCCAAUACCUGUCAAUUUUGUUUUCUUUUUUGUGAUGGUCAUAAUUUAGAAGCGGAAACAAAUUUUGCUCAGAGGGGGUGUACUCAUUUGCAACAUGGCUUUUCAUAAUGUUGGUUAAAAAAACAUGCUUUCCUCUUUAGCAUUGCAGUAUUGCAGUGUUGCUGAAACACUACAUAAUAUCUUUUUUAUUUGUAAAGCGAUAAAGAUGGAUUUCCAUUUUUCAGAGAGGGUGUACUCCUUCAUGAUGUGCACCGUAACAUUGCUGUGUCCUAAGCAUGGUGCCCUAAAAUUGGGGGGAUUGUUUAUAAAAAGGGCUGUAAUUCAUACACUGUGCACCCGAUAUGGAUGUAAAUACCCUUUUUUAUUACAAAUCUCAAAUUGUGGAGUACAGAGGCAAAUCAAUAAAUGAUGGGUCUUUGUCCCACACAUUAUGGAGGGCACUGUAUUCCUAAUAAUAUUUAAAUGCGUUUAAUUUCAUAUUGUUUGUUCUCUGCAGGUUUCUGCCUCUGCUGCUGACGUUGAGAGGUCCUUAACUUUGCCUGACAGUCCUCGAUUGAUUGUUCUCGAACUCGCUUCCGCAGGCGAGGCCCCCGUGGCGACGGAACCUCUCCAACCUUCGCUAUCCCUCACUGACCCCCUGUGCGAAUUCACGGUCGCAGGAGGGCUAUGGAACUGCCAGUCUGCUACGCGGAAGGCUGACUUCAUUUCAGCCUACGCGUCCCUCUUCUCUCUACAUUUCCUUGCCCUCACUGAGACCUGGAUCACACCAGGCAACACUGCAACCCCUACAGCCCUCUCCUCCUCCUUCUCCUUCUCUCACGCCCUCCGCCCGUCUGGCCGUGGUGGGGGCACAGGGCCCCUGGGAAGCUUCCUCGAUGGGCUCGACACCCUGCUCAGCUCCUUCCCAGAGGAUGGUGUAGAGGGA